rnacentral:rRNA from 1 species
CUACGGGCGGCUGCAGUAAGGAAUAUUGCGCAAUGGACGAAAGUCUGACGCAGCGACGCCGCGUGGGGGAUGAAGGUCUUCGGAUUGUAAACCCCUUUCGGCAGGGAAGAUGGAAUGGGGUAACCCAUUUGGACGGUACCUGCAGAAGCAGCCACGGCUAACUUCGUGCCAGCAGCCGCGGUAAUACGAAGGUGGCAAGCGUUGUUCGGAUUCACUGGGCGUACAGGGAGCGUAGGCGGUUGGGUAAGCCCUCCGUGAAAUCUCCGGGCCUAACCCGGAAAGUGCAGAGGGGACUGCUCAGCUAGAGGAUGGGAGAGGAGCGCGGAAUUCCCGGUGUAGCGGUGAAAUGCGUAGAGAUCGGGAGGAAGGCCAGUGGCGAAGGCGGCGCUCUGGAACAUUUCUGACGCUGAGGCUCGAAAGCGUGGGGAGCAAACAGGAUUAGAUACCCGUGUAGUC